AGAGUUUGAUCCUGGUCAGAACGAACGCUGGCGGCAGGCCUAACACAUGCAAGUCGAGCGGUAGCACAGAGAGCUUGCUCUCGGGUGACGAGCGGCGGACGGGUGAGUAAUGUCUGGGAAACUGCCUGAUGGAGGGGGAUAACUACUGGAAACGGUAGCUAAUACCGCAUAAUGUCGCAAGACCAAAGUGGGGGACCUUCGGGCCUCAUGCCAUCAGAUGUGCCCAGAUGGGAUUAGCUAGUAGGUGGGGUAACGGCUCACCUAGGCGACGAUCCCUAGCUGGUCUGAGAGGAUGACCAGCCACACUGGAACUGAGACACGGUCCAGACUCCUACGGGAGGCAGCAGUGGGGAAUAUUGCACAAUGGGCGCAAGCCUGAUGCAGCCAUGCCGCGUGUGUGAAGAAGGCCUUCGGGUUGUAAAGCACUUUCAGCGGGGAGGAAGGCGGUGAGGUUAAUAACCUCAUCGAUUGACGUUACCCGCAGAAGAAGCACCGGCUAACUCCGUGCCAGCAGCCGCGGUAAUACGGAGGGUGCAAGCGUUAAUCGGAAUUACUGGGCGUAAAGCGCACGCAGGCGGUCUGUCAAGUCGGAUGUGAAAUCCCCGGGCUCAACCUGGGAACUGCAUUCGAAACUGGCAGGCUAGAGUCUUGUAGAGGGGGGUAGAAUUCCAGGUGUAGCGGUGAAAUGCGUAGAGAUCUGGAGGAAUACCGGUGGCGAAGGCGGCCCCCUGGACAAAGACUGACGCUCAGGUGCGAAAGCGUGGGGAGCAAACAGGAUUAGAUACCCUGGUAGUCCACGCCGUAAACGAUGUCGAUUUGGAGGUUGUGCCCUUGAGGCGUGGCUUCCGGAGCUAACGCGUUAAAUCGACCGCCUGGGGAGUACGGCCGCAAGGUUAAAACUCAAAUGAAUUGACGGGGGCCCGCACAAGCGGUGGAGCAUGUGGUUUAAUUCGAUGCAACGCGAAGAACCUUACCUGGUCUUGACAUCCACAGAACUUAGCAGAGAUGCUUUGGUGCCUUCGGGAACUGUGAGACAGGUGCUGCAUGGCUGUCGUCAGCUCGUGUUGUGAAAUGUUGGGUUAAGUCCCGCAACGAGCGCAACCCUUAUCCUUUGUUGCCAGCGGUUAGGCCGGGAACUCAAAGGAGACUGCCAGUGAUAAACUGGAGGAAGGUGGGGAUGACGUCAAGUCAUCAUGGCCCUUACGACCAGGGCUACACACGUGCUACAAUGGCAUAUACAAAGAGAAGCGACCUCGCGAGAGCAAGCGGACCUCAUAAAGUAUGUCGUAGUCCGGAUUGGAGUCUGCAACUCGACUCCAUGAAGUCGGAAUCGCUAGUAAUCGUAGAUCAGAAUGCUACGGUGAAUACGUUCCCGGGCCUUGUACACACCGCCCGUCACACCAUGGGAGUGGGUUGCAAAAGAAGUAGGUAGCUUAACCUUCGGGAGGGCGCUUACCACUUUGUGAUUCAUGACUGGGGAAGUCGUAACAAGGUAGCCGUAGG
rnacentral:rRNA from 1 species